rnacentral:ncRNA from 2 species
UAUGAUACAAUAAGCAAGUUGUUUAUGCAACCCUUGGUGCUUAGCUUCUUUCACCAAGCAUAUUAGAAGCGUGAAAUAAAGUGGUGGCAUUCUAUUUAGACAGUGCCGACUUCAUUGUUUUUGCUGGCUAGUCUUCUAUGACAGUCAAAACGGUGAUUUCUGAACAGGCUUGUCUGACAGAAUACCAAGGCUCUUUUAUUUUGACGCUAAAGGAGAAUUAAAUG